UGGGAUGUAACUCAGAGGUGAGAGUGUCGGUCUUAUAAACCGGUGGUCGGGAGUUCGAAUCUCCUCAUCCCUA
rnacentral:tRNA from 1 species